rnacentral:rRNA from 1 species
UACGUAGGUGGCGAGCGUUGUCCGGAUUUACUGGGCGUAAAGAGCGCGCAGGCGGCUGGUCAAGUCCGAUGUGAAAGCUCCCGGCUUAACUGGGAAAUUGCAUCGGAAACUGAUCGGCUGGAAGGUGGGAGAGGGUAGCUGAAUUCCCGGUGUAGUGGUGAAAUGCGUAGAUAUCGGGAGGAACACCAGUGGCGAAAGCGGCUACCUGGCCCAUUCUUGACGCUGAGGCGCGAAAGCUAGGGGAGCAAACGGG